UACGGAGGGAGCUAGCGUUGUUCGGAUAUACUGGGCGUAAAGCGCACGUAGGCGGCGCCGUAAGUCAGGGGUGAAAUCCCGGAGCUCAACUCCGGAACUGCCCUUGAAACUGCAGUGCUAGAAUCCUGGAGAGGCGAGUGGAAUUCCGAGUGUAGAGGUGAAAUUCGUAGAUAUUCGGAAGAACACCAGUGGCGAAGGCGACUCGCUGGACAGGUAUUGACGCUGAGGUGCGAAAGCGUGGGGAGCAAACAGG
rnacentral:rRNA from 2 species